GUGUUUGAAGUCUGUUUUAGAGUAUUUUCAUGUUCAUGUGCGUUUUGGAGAAUUUUGGAGAUUAUGGAGCGUUUGGAAGUGUAUGACUCCGCAGACGCGUCAGGAGGUUAGCUAUGGAUGUAAGCCUUUCCACGGUGAGAUUGACCUCAUAUUUUGGGAAAAAAAUAGAUAUUUAAAUUAGAUUUUCAAUGUCACCAGUUUGAAGUCCAUCUAACGGUUAGAUCUAAAGUUAUGAUUGUUUCACUAAAUAUUGGUCUGCAUGAGUCACACGACGAAGCUGUCGAAGAUAUAAAGACGGGUCGAUCGAUACUAAUACCUUGGUGUCACGCAAAAUUGACGGGAGAACACGGGAAGAGUCUAUUUCAUGACCUACGUGGGCCCAAAAGUCACCACAAAGUUCAGAAUCCCCAUGGCCGACUUGAUA
rnacentral:lncRNA from 1 species